CAGACCACGCCUAGCACUUUCCGCAUGUGCGAUGGCUGCAGCCUGCAGGCAAUCUCCUCCCCCAGUCAAGCCUAGGAGCUCGUAUCCUCCAAACACGCUCGCAUCCUCCAAUCACACCAACGCCGCCGCCCCCUUCGACGACGAGCCCCGCCACAGCCUCCCGCGCCAACAUGCAACGCGACCUGUCUCCUCUCCCGCACACUGACGUUGUCUGACUACCCAUGCCUCGUCAUACUAGGCGCUCAGGUCUCCGCCGCCGCCGCCGCACGCCGAGAGCUCCUGUCUUCAUCGGUCACUUUGCUAGAUCUUUAUCAGGCUCUUCACCUACUACACGAUGAGAAACCAACAGCUCGAAGCUAUGGAGCACACAUGAUGAAUGAUGAAUGGAAGGCAGAUCCAUUAAACUAAUGUCAAUGGGUGGGCUGACAGUAAAGAUACUAAAGAUUCUUCACGAAGUGGACCUUCUUGCACUACCUCCUCUUGUUGACGUAGGAUUGAGAUGGUUCACUUUAAAGUUCAACUUCAACCCAGAAGGGAAGGUUUUACCACAGCUCUUGUAGGUUAUGUUUUGCAAUUGCUACUCAUGUUCUUUGGAUUAAAAAUACUUGCGCAUAGCAUAAAUUUAUCCAAUUAUGAAUGUCUAUUUUUUAUAAUCUUAAACAAUUUUUUAAAAUGUAAAGUCAGUGUGUAACCGCAAACAUAAAUGUGUCCAAUUAUAAAUGUCUAAAUUUUCAAGGUUACAUGAUUCUUAUUGCAGAUUAUGGUGCAUCUUAUCUUGUACUCCCUCCGUUUCAAAUUAUAAGUCAUUCCAAGAAUCUUGGAGAGUCAAAACAUUUUCAAGUUUGACCAAAAAUAUAGAGAGAAAUAUAAAGUUUUAUGUCAUAAAA